rnacentral:rRNA from 1 species
GACAGAGGAUGCAAGCGUUAUCCGGAAUGAUUGGGCGUAAAGCGUCUGUAGGUGGUUUAUUAAGUCUACUGUUAAAGAUCAGGGCUUAACCCUGAGCAGGCAAUAGAAACUAAUAAGCUAGAGUACGGUAGGGGCAGAGGGAAUUCCCGGUGUAGCGGUGAAAUGCGUAGAUAUCAAGAGGAACACCUGCGGCGAAGGCGGGUUGCUGGGCCGACACUGACGCUGAUGCGCGAAAGCUAGGGGAGCGAACGGG